UACGAAGGGGGGCUAGCGUUGUUCGGAAUUACUGGGCGUAAAGGGCGCGUAGGCUGUGCUGUAAGUCAGGCGUGAAAGGCCCGGGCUCAACCUGGGAACUGCGUUUGAUACUGCGGCGCUGGAAUGCAGGAGAGGAUGGCGGAAUUCCCAGUGUAGAGGUGAAAUUCGUAGAUAUUGGGAAGAACACCGGUGGCGAAGGCGGCACUCUGGCCUGCAAUUGACGCUGAGGCGCGAAAGCGUGGGGAGCAAACAGG
rnacentral:rRNA from 1 species